GACGAACGCUGGCGGCGUGCUUAACACAUGCAAGUCGAACGGAAAGGCCUCUUUCGGGGGGUACUCGAGUGGCGAACGGGUGAGUAACACGUGAGUAACCUGCCCUUGACUUUGGGAUAACUUCAGGAAACUGGGGCUAAUACCGGAUAGGAGCUCCUGCUGCAUGGUGGGGGUUGGAAAGUUUCGGCGGUUGGGGAUGGACUCGCGGCUUAUCAGCUUGUUGGUGGGGUAGUGGCUUACCAAGGCUUUGACGGGUAGCCGGCCCGAGAGGGUGACCGGCCACAUUGGGACGGAGAUACGGCCCAGACUCCUACGGGAGGCAGCAGUGGGGAAUAUUGCACAAUGGGUGGAAGCCUGAUGCAGCAACGCCGUGUGCGGGAUGACGGCCUUCGGGUUGUAAACCGCUUUCGCUCAUGACGAAGCUUUGUGUGACGGUAGUGGGUAAAGAAGCACCGGCUAACUACGUGC
rnacentral:rRNA from 1 species